AGUGGAAUUGCUGGAUCAUAUGGUAAAUAUCAGUUUAACACUAUAAGAAACUGCCAAGUUGUUUGCCAAAGUGUUUGUACCAUUCUACUUUUCCACCAGCAGU
rnacentral:pre_miRNA from 1 species